CUUGGGGUAGAAAAUAGAUACUCACUUUGCCAUUGUCUGUUCAGAACCACAUACACAGUAUGAUGUGAUAGUUACAUGGCAAGAAAAAAAAUGUUGCCCACAAGCUGUUGGGAUUAGUGAGUCACUAUCGAUGCACUAACCAGGUAAUUAAUUCAGAAUAUGCUACGUACAACAUUUCUAACAUUGGAAGAGGUGAUGUCUGAUUGGUCUGUGAGAAACUAUGAUGAAAUUUGCUAAUAAUAGAAUUCCAUUCCUGAAUAUGGAAACAUGACACUUCAUUUUGAAGCUCGGGAUCAUUAUGGUUUUGGUAAAAACAGAUCAUAUAUUGCACCAUAGUGGCAGCAUGCUCGCCCCUUGACUAGUAAAAUUGUCUGACAUUAGACUGUAAAAUAAUACAGUAAUACUACUAAUACAGUAAGACACAUUGCCACUUGAAGGGUUAAUAUAUGUGUAUUUAUUAUAUAGUAGAGAGGGAGAUACUGAAAAACACACAUUGAAAUAUUUUACAUAUCUUCACUAGUGCAUCAAGAUAUCGAUCACAUGACUUUUUCCAAUUUCACAAUUUUUUGCUUGGGACUAUAUAUAAUAAACAGAACAUUACAUGGUGGCUUGAAGAUAUGACUUUUGUCUUCUCGUGUUAAAAACAAUAUUUUACUCACUUGCUGUGCUCGUUCGUAAAAUUUUGUUUUCACCACUCGAAGAUCUUCACGCUGCUGUGUAAUAUCCUCUAUAUACAUGCAUAUGAUAUUUUUCAUUUUCAUGGUGUAUAAAGAUGUAUAUAAAUGUAUCAUGAUAAUAAUGUCAUCUUUUAUUUUGCAGAAAUUAUCUGUUUAAUGCAACACAAGAGAUGGCACAGGCAUCAACAUACAGAACAUCAAAAUGAAGUUAUAAUUAUAAUACCAUAACAACAUAAUAAAUAAUUAUAUGAUUAUAAUAACUUUAUUGAAG